AGUAUACAAAUUUUUCCAUGAUAAAACAUUUAAGGUCCUACUGAGAUUUGAACUCAGGUCACUGGGGUUAAAGUCCAGUGCACUAACCACUACACUACGGAACCUUCACAUUAUAUGGAAGGUACAUGUAUGCUUUUAUGGAUCAGCUCACAAGCGAACUAUAGUAUGCAAAUGUUUUCAUGAUAAAAUAUUUUGGAACUUACUGGGAGUUGAACCCACGUCGCUGGGGUUAAAGACCAGUGCACUAACCACUACACUACUGAACCUUCAUAUAGCAUGAAAGGUACAUGUAUGCUUUUAUGGAGCAGCUCACAAACGAACAGUAUGUAUGCAAAUUUUUCCAUGAUAAAACAUUUAAGGUCCUACUGAGAUUUGAACUCAGGUCACUGGGGUUAAAGUCCAGUGCACUAACCACUACACUACGGAACCUUCACAUUAUAUGGAAGGUACAUGUAUGCUUUUAUGGAUCAGCUCACAAGCGAACUAUAGUAUGCAAAUGUUUUCAUGAUAAAAUAUUUUGGAACUUACUGGGAGUUGAACCCAGGUCGCUGGGGUUAAAGACCAGUGCACUAACCACUACACUACUGAACCUUCAUAUAGCAUGAAAGGUACAUGUACGCUUUUAUGGACAGCUCACAAGCGAACAGUACAAAUUUUUCCAUGAUAAAAUAUUUAAGGUCCUACUGAGAUUUGAACUCAGGUCACUGGGGUUAAAACCCAGCACACUAACCACUACACUAC